rnacentral:ribozyme from 13 species
AAGAAGAGAAUGCAGAAGAGCGAAGAAAAGAAAAGAGAGAGAGAAUUGUUUCUUUCCCAGAGGUGUCUUCUGGUUCCUUUUCUUCUGUUUCUUUUUUCUUUCCAUCGUUGUCA